rnacentral:tRNA from 1 species
GGGGCGGUAGCUCAGUUGGGAGAGCGCACGGUUCGCAUCCGUGAGGUCGUGGGUUCGAAUCCCAUCCGCUCCA